UGGGGAAUUUUGGACAAUGGGCGAAAGCCUGAUCCAGCAAUGCCGCGUGUGUGAAGAAGGCCUUCGGGUUGUAAAGCACUUUUGUCCGGAAAGAAAUCCUUGGCUCUAAUACAGUCGGGGGAUGACGGUACCGGAAGAAUAAGCACCGGCUAACUACGUGCCAGCAGCCGCGGUAAUACGUAGGGUGCAAGCGUUAAUCGGAAUUACUGGGCGUAAAGCGUGCGCAGGCGGUUUGCUAAGACCGAUGUGAAAUCCCCGGGCUCAACCUGGGAACUGCAUUGGUGACUGGCAGGCUAGAGUAUGGCAGAGGGGGGUAGAAUUCCACGUGUAGCAGUGAAAUGCGUAGAGAUGUGGAGGAAUACCGAUGGCGAAGGCAGCCCCCUGGGCCAAAUACUGACGCUCAUGCACGAAAAGCGUGGGGAGCAAACAGGAUUAGAUACCCUGGUAGUCCACGCCCUAAAACGAUGUCAACUAGUUGUUGGGGAUUCAUUUCCUUAGUAACGUAGCUAACGCGUGAAGUUGACCGCCUGGGGAGUACGGUCGCAAGAUUAAAAACUCAAAUGAAUUGACGGGGUCAUAGCUGUUUCCU
rnacentral:rRNA from 1 species